GCGGGCAUAGCUCAAUUGGUAGAGCACGACGGCGCCACCGUCGGGGCUGUGGACUCAGAAUCCACUGCCCGCACCA
rnacentral:tRNA from 1 species